AGUUGAGCGAGUGCACCACCACAGUAUGAAGGCAGCAUGAAUGGAGCCAUGAUACCACGAUUCACCAUGGCAACAAUCACAAACAAUCGGUCGGCAUACUUCACCCCUAAUGAGGUGGAAGUAUUAAUGCAAGCGUACGGCGAGUAUGAACACGCAGCAAAAGAGAGAGAAGCAGCGUGGGAGAAAAUUGCUGUUCGAGUCAACGUGUAAGUUCCAAUAUAGUGUUGUCAGGUAACAUUUCAUUUACACACUAAUCAUAAUUCAUACGUUUUACCAAUUCCCAGUGGGAAAAUUACAUAUUUUACACUCUGUUUGUUAGAAUGCACUACACACAGGCUUUAAAUACACACCCAUGCUCAUAUUUAAUCACAAGAAUAAUUAAAAGUAGGAGCUAGCCCUCAGCCUAAACAAGGGAAGGCCAGUGACUGAAGGCAUCCCUGGAGGGAGCUCCUCAUCUGAGGCAGCCACAUCCCAGGACACAGGUGCCUUUAUAAUAUGUAAUGGCCUUAUAUUCAUUGUAUUCCAAUGUGAAUAGAUACAUUAUUCCCUUCACAGGUUUGUCAUUUGUCCCAACAGAUUCUGCGGCCUCUCCCUUGUGGACCCUCAUGCCACAGCAGAAGUCCUUGAAGCUGAUAAAACCGAUGAAGAGAACACAUUGUCUGCUGUGACAGAGAGGGAACCAGAGAGGCCUACAGGGAACAUGGCUGGGCAGAACAGGAGGAGGGUCCAUCAACCUCCACAUCACAGCUAAACACAGUAAGAUGUGCAACAGCUACCAGAGAUGACGACGAUGACAGACGGAAACGGCAGGGGCGACAUGACGGUGGCAGACCAAAACAAACAAACCUGUCAUGGUUAGAGCUGACACAAGCACGCCUCUGUCACCGGGAGCCGCCGUCAUUGGCGAUCAAUGCAUCAAAAUCCCGGAGUACAAGAUUGAUACGGAUUACCGCUUUCGCAUUCGAACAGAACUUU